rnacentral:rRNA from 1 species
GACAGAGGUGCCAAGCGUUAGGCGGAAUCAUUGGGCGUAAAGCGCGCGUAGGCGGCCCGGUAAGUCCGCUGUGAAAGUCAAAGGCUCAACCUUUGAAUGUCAGCGGAUACUGCCGGGCUAGAGUCCGGAAGAGGCGAGUGGAACUCCUGGUGUAGCGGUGGAAUGCGCAGAUAUCAGGAAGAACACCAACGGCGAAGGCAGCUCGCUGGGACGGAACUGACGCUAAGGCGCGAAAGCGUGGGGAGCGAACAGG